rnacentral:rRNA from 1 species
AGAGUUUGAUCCUGGCUCAGGAUGAACGCUAGCGGCAGGCCUAACACAUGCAAGUCGAGGGGUAACAGGGUAGCAAUAUCGCUGACGACCGGCGCACGGGUGAGUAACGCGUAUGCAACCUUCCUUUAACUGGGGAAUAGCCCGGAGAAAUUCGGAUUAAUACCCCAUAACAUCAUAGAGAGGCAUCUCUCAGUGAUUAAAGCUUCGGCGGUUAAAGAUGGGCAUGCGUGCCAUUAGCUAGUUGGUGAGGUAACGGCUCACCAAGGCUACGAUGGUUAGGGGGUCUGAGAGGAUGAUCCCCCACACUGGUACUGAGACACGGACCAGACUCCUACGGGAGGCAGCAGUGAGGAAUAUUGGGCAAUGGGCGAAAGCCUGACCCAGCCAUGCCGCGUGAAGGAUGAAUGCCCUAUGGGUUGUAAACUUCUUUUGUACGGGACAAAACUCUCGAACGUGUUCGGGAUUGAUGGUACUGUAUGAAUAAGCAUCGGCUAACUCCGUGCCAGCAGCCGCGGUAAUACGGAGGAUGCGAGCGUUAUCCGGAUUCAUUGGGUUUAAAGGGUGCGUAGGCGGAAUAAUAAGUCAGCGGUGAAAGCCUGCGGCUUAACCGUAGAAUUGCCAUUGAUACUGUUAUUCUUGAGUAUAGUUGAAGUAGGCGGAAUGUGUAAUGUAGCGGUGAAAUGCUUAGAUAUUACACAGAACACCAAUUGCGAAGGCAGCUUACUAAGCUGUUACUGACGCUGAGGUACGAAAGCGUGGGGAGCAAACAGGAUUAGAUACCCUGGUAGUCCACGCUGUAAACGAUGAUCACUCGUUGUUGGCGAUACACCGUCAGCGACUGAGCGAAAGCAAUAAGUGAUCCACCUGGGGAGUACGGCGGCAACGCUGAAACUUAAAGGAAUUGACCGG